rnacentral:lncRNA from 1 species
CAAUAUCAAUUGAACUUAACAUAUUACUAUCUAAUAAUUUAUAUAGUCAACGACAAUUGGACUUAAGAGUCAUCGACACAAUAUCUAAACCAUCUCAAAAUUCCAAUUUAUUGAAAAUUCAACAUUUGAGAAUGCGACGGGCUUAUAAAAUAAGGGUCUAGUAUCCCAUUUUUAAGCAUAAUUAUAUAUAUUUUUCUUCUUUUUGUUUUAUCUAAAACAAGUAACUUCAACAGAGUUAC